ensembl:lncRNA novel transcript
CCCCUUUGCCUUCCGCCAUGAUUGUUAAGUUUCCUCAGGCCACCCCAGCCCUGCAGAACUAAGUGACUCUCCAGGGGAGCUAAAAUCCAUGUAUUUGGGCACACACUUGAACAAUAUUGCUAGAGAAAUUUAAGCAAGAGCACAAAGGCACUACGUUGUCUGGGAUGAUGGAAGGAGCUAAAGUCUUCAGUGAAUGAAGGAGCAGGACCAGGAGCUCAAAAUACUUCUUUGAAGACAAAGAAGAAAUGAUAUUACCAAAUGGUUGGCUCAAAAGAACAGGGAUUUUGCAACAGAGAGAGUAUGUCAUGGUCUUGAACAAGCAAUGAAAGAAUCAUCUGAAAGGAAUGUGGAGAUCAGAGAAAAAUGAUGGGAAAGUUACCACAGCCUGCAAAUGAGAAAUGAUGAGAGCCUGCCUGGGUUUUGCCAGGACGAUUAAAUAUCAUUGAUGCUUCUGGUCUACAAUUAGUCAGAGAAGAGAUUAAAAAAAUGAUGAGUAUUCAAGAAGGAAAGUGUUUGCUUUAACAUAUGAAGAAAAGGAGCUUCAGAGUGGUGAUUAACCCCAGAAUUGUGUGGAACGGAUAUGGAAACAAGACCACAGGAGCAUCGAGAACUGAGCAGAACUGAAGGUGACAUGAAAAUCAGCUGCAAGAUUCACCUCAGGGUGAUAAUGGGCUGCAGGUGGCUGCAGGAAUCCCGGGACAUUCUAGGCACUGCCAUAUUUUCUUAGGGGCCAGUAAGGAUGGCUAUCAUCAGAUGUACCUGAUGAUACAAACAUGGGCUGUCUUGCCUUCUAGUAUUCAUUCUUGAUGAUUGCAUCCAGAGCUCACUUUGGAGGUGCAGAUCAACUCUUCUUCAGGCUCAUCCAUGCGACUUGAGUGGGCUCUCAUCCCCAUUCCCAGGGGCUUAUGACAAUCAAGGUUUCCACUCCUCCAUGGUCUCAAUGGUUUUUCUCCCCAUGGGAAGCACAUAAUCCCAUUAGAGGCCACGGGAAGCUUUUUUGUUGGGCUUUGAGGGAAAAAAGGCUUUUGCAGCCAAUGAAUCGAUCAAUGUGUACUUCAACCUGGAUUGUAUGUAUGCAUCUCCUAGAUUGGGCGGAUGAUGAAGUGAGGCUGGAAGUGCUGAGCAUCUUCCUACCUGGGAUGACUGGGCUGAGCAGGAAGCCUACCCCGGGGUUCCAGCCAAGUUGGAGCCUGUGAGUGUGUGGUGUAGUUUAACGCCCUGAUUAAAUCACUAGGAAGCCAUUUCUCUCUCUCCUCCCAGACCAGAUCAGACAAUAUGUUCCCUUAUUUCUACUAAAGCCCCAAUUGGAUUUUGUGUCUUUUGAUACUGAAAGAAUCUUACCACAAAUAAAAUAAUUUGUCAUGU